UUUUCAUCCAGAGUGGCUGAGGGACUGGCCCUGCGAAGCCACGGCAACCGGUUUGCGGUUCACACCGGCAAACAGUGGUGCCAACUCCUACAUCCCAGACACAGGGCGGGAUGAGAGAUGAGAA
rnacentral:ncRNA from 3 species